AAUGAAAUGCCUGAUAAAAGGGUUACUUUGAUAGAGUAAAUCAUGUAGGUUUCCUACUUUCAUUA
rnacentral:tRNA from 1 species